GCGUGCUAAAACAAUGGGCCGGUCUUACAGUCACCCGUUUUCGUUCGCUAGCCAGCGAACGAAAGCCUUCCGCGCGCGAUCGGGUCUUACAGUCGCUCUUGGCCGCUGCUUUUCGCUCGCUCGCGAACGAAAAAUCGGCGUUUUGGUAAGGAGAUUUUGGGGAGCGGUUGAGGUGACGAAAACGAGAUUUGUAACCUAUGAAUUCAAAGUAAAUAAGUAAAUAUGCAAUGAUAUAACAUACCUAGCAUGCAGAGAGCAUAUAUAAGGCAAAUAAUUAUUCAAAACACCUUUAUUUUUGUUGUACAAGCGUUUUAUUGGGCAGCGUAUCGUACACCGCCAGCACAACAGUUUGUCGUCUCAGCCAACGCAAUGGAUAUUUUCGGAUGUGGAAUUCUUCUGAAUCUUAAGAUGCUUGUCACAGUGAAAUACCUGGUCACAAGCAAUUUCCUCUUCACCAUAGCUGACUGCAUAUAAAUUGUCGUCAUCAGGUAGCAGGGCUAUUGGAGAUGUCAAAUGAUAUACCUGGUACACUUUCUACAUAUAAUUUCUCUAUCCGAGGAAGCACACCAUGUGUCCAAAAAAGUUUAUGAUGUUGCUGGUAUGGCAGGAGUUACAAAGAGUGUCAGGGUCAAGGUUAGACUACACCUAGGAUCAGUCUGCUCAUUCUCAGUAGUGAUGUACAGGUUGACGGAUGAGGUCAGGCAGCAGUCUCCAUGGACCAUGAUAUUUGUGGAUGACACUGUGAUAUUUAGUGAAGGCAGGGAAGAAACUGAAAAUGAACUAGAGAGGUGGAGGUAUGCACUGUAUAAGAGGGAUGAAAAUCAGCAGGAGCAAGACUGAAUACAUGUGAGUGAGCCCUACGGAAAUGGUACAGUGAGGUUUCAGUGAGUGGAGUUGGCAAAGGUUGAUAAGUUCAAAUACUAGGGCUUAACAGAACAAAGCAAUGGAACGUGUGCUACAGAAAGGAAGAAAAGAGUACCGUACAGGCCAGGUGGAAUAGAGGGAGAAUGGUGACACGAUCAUCCGAUAUUUCUGCUCCAGGACAAAGCCCUGGGGCUGUCCUGUGGUGACUGUGUCCAUUUAUAGCAUCAAAGAGCAGUCAAGUUACAGAUAUCAUAAAAGACCUUUUGCUGUAAGAAAAUCUUUAUUUGGUAAUAAAUUUACCUGUAUUUUCAACAUGGAAAAAUAAAUUAUUAAACUGU